AGAGUUUGAUCAUGGCUCAGGACGAACGCUGGCGGCGUGCCUAAUACAUGCAAGUAGAACGCUGAAGACUGGUGCUUGCACUAGUCAGAUGAGUUGCGAACGGGUGAGUAACGCGUAGGUAACCUACCUCAUAGCGGGGGAUAACUAUUGGAAACGAUAGCUAAUACCGCAUGACAAUUAAGUACUCAUGUACUAAAUUUAAAAGGAGCAAUCGCUUCACUAUGAGAUGGACCUGCGUUGUAUUAGCUAGUUGGUGAGGUAACGGCUCACCAAGGCCACGAUACAUAGCCGACCUGAGAGGGUGAUCGGCCACACUGGGACUGAGACACGGCCCAGACUCCUACGGGAGGCAGCAGUAGGGAAUCUUCGGCAAUGGGGGCAACCCUGACCGAGCAACGCCGCGUGAGUGAAGAAGGUUUUCGGAUCGUAAAGCUCUGUUGUUAGAGAAGAACGGUAAUGGGAGUGGAAAAUCCAUUACGUGACGGUAACUAACCAGAAAGGGACGGCUAACUACGUGCCAGCAGCCGCGGUAAUACGUAGGUCUCGAGCGUUGUCCGGAUUUAUUGGGCGUAAAGCGAGCGCAGGCGGUUAUUUAAGUCUGAAGUUAAAGGCCGUGGCUCAACCAUGGUUCGCUUUGGAAACUGGAUAACUUGAGUGCAGAAGGGGAGAGUGGAAUUCCAUGUGUAGCGGUGAAAUGCGUAGAUAUAUGGAGGAACACCGGUGGCGAAAGCGGCUCUCUGGUCUGUAACUGACGCUGAGGCUCGAAAGCGUGGGGAGCAAACAGGAUUAGAUACCCUGGUAGUCCACGCCGUAAACGAUGAGUGCUAGGUGUUAGGCCCUUUCCGGGGCUUAGUGCCGCAGCUAACGCAUUAAGCACUCCGCCUGGGGAGUA
rnacentral:rRNA from 1 species